UACAGAGGGUGCGAGCGUUAAUCGGAAUUACUGGGCGUAAAGCGCGCGUAGGCGGCUUUGCAAGUCGGGUGUGAAAUCCCCAGGCUUAACCUGGGAACUGCAUUCGAGACUGCAUUGCUAGAGUAUGGGAGAGGGAAGUGGAAUUUCCGGUGUAGCGGUGAAAUGCGUAGAUAUCGGAAGGAACAUCAGUGGCGAAGGCGGAGACCUGGGCCGAUACUGACGCUGAGGUGCGAAAGCGUGGGGAGCAAACAGG
rnacentral:rRNA from 1 species